AUGGUGAUGUUGGCCAUAGCAACCUCGGACCUACCUGGACAAAGGUGCUCUGCGGAAGAGCUGACCCACACAGGUGUGUCCGCCCAUCAGAGGGUCAUUUCCCCUGGCCAACGAAGCGUGGUGUCCCAUACGUCGCCCCUGUUCCUGUCAGCCGUCUGGCUGCGUGCCCUGCCCAUCUCCCCUUGUCACCAGCCAGGCUUCCCAGCUGAGAAGAGAGGAGGGCGGCGGCUCGGCCCGGAGGAGCCCCUGAACCCUGGCCCUCAGACACUGGGCGCUGGACCCUCCGAGGGGCCAAGUCCGCGAAGGUGGGGUUUGCGCCUGGGUCCCCGGGGCUGUGCAAACACCGGACAGCUGUACUUCGGCAAAGGCUCCAAGCUGACCGUGCUUGAUGACCUGAAGAAGGUGCAGCCACCCAGGGUCACCGUGUUCGAACCAUCGGAAGCAGAGAUUGCCCGCACCCAGAAGGCCACACUCGUGUGCCUGGCCACAGGCUUCUACCCCGACCACGUGGAGCUGAGCUGGUGGGUGAAUGGCAAGAAGGUCCUGAGUGGGGUCAGCACUGACCCCCAGCCCUACAAGGAGCACCCCAACCGCAAUGACUCCAACUACUGCCUGAGCAGCCGGCUGAGGGUCUCCGCCGACUUCUGGAGCAACCCCCGCAACUACUUCAGCUGCCAAGUCCAGUUCUACGGGCUGGGAAAGAACGACACUUGGAAGGAGGAGGACGGUCCCAAGCCCACCACCCAGAACGUCAGCGCCGGGGCCUGGGGCAGAGCAGAGUGUGGUGUCACCUCAGCGUCCUAUAAGCAAGGGGUCCUGUCUGCCACCCUCGUGUAUGAGAUCCUGCUGGGGAAGGCCACCGUGUACGCAGUGCUGGUCAGCGUCCUGGUGCUGAUGGCCAUGGUCAAGAAAAAGGAUUCCUGAGACCAGUUCCAAAAGCACAUCCAGAGUCGUUCUUAGUCCUCGCCCCAGAUUCACCUGCGCAUGCUCCCAGCCUGCGUCCCUAAGGAGGUGUUCUCUCUCCGCCUUUUAUCUCCUUCCUGCAUAGACGCCUGUCCCUUCUCUCUGGGGCCCUGCAGACUGAGCGCCUCAACCCUGGAUCUAAACAGAUUAAGCCAAUAAAGGUGUUGUGCUGGA